rnacentral:misc_RNA from 1 species
UAGAGUUAAAAACUCACCAAACCCACUGUAAACGUACCUAUCUCAGCCCCUCCGGCAGGCGGCCCCAGGGCGGGGCCUCAGCCUACGGCGCCUGCCGAAGGUGGCACAAAUUUUUGCUCUUUCAAGUAAAUCUGAGUCUAAAGACAAAAUAUCAAAAUUUUCAAUUGUGGAUCUCUUGGUUCUGGCAUCGAUGAAGAACGCAGCGAAAUGCGAUAAGUAAUGUGAAUUGCAGAAUUCAGCGAAUCAUCGAAUCUUUGAACGCACAUUGCGCCCAUUAGUAUUCUAGUGGGCAUGCCUGUUCGAGCGUCAUUUCAACCCUCGGGCCCGUACGGGUCUGGUGUUGGGGCCUUUGCCGCGAGGCAAGCCCUGAAAGCAAGCGGCGGGCUCGCUGUGACCCCGAGCGUAGUAAUUUUACACCUCGUUUAGGGCGUCUGGCGGGCGGCACCAGCCGUAAAAGCGCUGUAUGCACUGAAAA